rnacentral:sRNA from 1 species
AACACCUAUAUUAAUAGAAUUUCUAAUUAUAUAAGUAUAUUCAUAGUCGAGUGCGCAAUGUUAAUCAGAAUAAGUAGUAGCAAAAAAAUCGCCGAAAAUUUUUGAGAUAUCUAAAUCCGUGUCCGCUGACACUGAACCAUAUUAAAGAAAAGUUAGGUAUAGCACUGAAGCGACGUUUACAAUUAACAAAUUUGUAGAAAGUCUUAAGAUUGGAUUUUAAGUCCGAUUUCAUUUAAAUCAAGUAAUUGCGAUGACCCAUCUUGUUUUCCCUAUUGUACUUUGAUCUUUCUAAUGAAUAGUUUGAGAAGUCGAGCGAAGUUCCCGAUUUUUUUUAAUUUCUUAUACAGUUUAUUUUUGUUAUUUUUCAGUUUCGAUAAAUUUCAUGUAUUCCAAGGUGGUCCAGAAUUAUCAACUACAAUAAGUCGAGGGACUGACUUAUCUAAGUAUUCCUUUAGAAUGGAGUACAAUUUUGAUAUAUUCUCAUUAACAUAAUCAGAUCUUAAAACGCUACCCCAAUUAGUGGCAGAAUGCAGGAAUCUGAGCUUAGUAUAAUUAGUUUUAGCGAAGCAAUAUUCUUUUCUAGGGGAGGGAAAUUUAGGAGGCAUUUCUUAUGGGAAAGAAACACAUUUUAGAGAAAAAAACUAACUGGUUAACAGACAACUGUUAGUUAGCUGUCUAUUAACAGAAGGAUUUUGCUAUCAUCUUUUAGACUAAUUUUGAUCCAAUGAUCUCUUGUUUCGGGAACAAAAUGAUUAUUAAACCAUUCUUAAGAUAUUCGUUUAGUUACUAAACUUUUAUAUUGGUUUUAUAGAGAACUGAAAGUUCGUGAACAUUCUUUAAAACUCUUGGCAGAGCUCUUUUUCCGAUAACUUACACCUUGCAUUUGUACGCAUAAUAAAGCACUUAGUCUCUCUUUGGCACUUUAUGCCCAUCUACGGGUGCUUGAUCAAUGCAUACCAAAAUGCUUUCAGGCAAACUUCCAGUUUCGAUUUGUUCCAUUUUUUAAACGUAAUCGAUAGACUGGAGCCACCGUAGUUUCGAAGAUAGCAUCUCCGCCUAUGACGCUGAACACCCUUGUUCGAAUCCUGGCCAUAACAUCCUUAUGCAGGCGACAUUUGUGAGAUAACAGCCAUGUAAAAACUUCUCCCAAAGAGGUUUGCACUUAAGCACGCAGUUCGAACUCAUCUAUUAAAAGGCGCUCCCUUAUAAUUGAGCUUAAACUUGAAUCGCACAUCACUCAAUGAAAUGUGAGAAGUUUGCUCCCUGUUCCUUGAUGUAGUGUGCAUGGGAAAAUUUGCAUUUGUAAAACGUACUUAUACUCCCGGAUAAUAGAGGUAAUCACGAAAAAUCGAGUUGAUCGAAAAAAGACAAAAACAUCUUUUUGAUAUCGGAGAAUGGAGGUUACCGAAUAAUCGAGGUCCGACUGUAAUAUAAAAAAUCUACUUUUUCCAAUUUGAUGUGCCGUCUUGUUGUCUGAAAUAUCCCUCACCGUGGUGAACAAACAAUAAAACGAAACUGUUACCGUUUGCUAAAUUCAAUCAGUACAACUCCACGUAUAAUUAUCAGGACCAUAAGCAUAACUUAUACGCCAUUGAUAUACUUGUUGGCCAGCUAAAUGGGCCAACCAAUAUAAGAAUAGCCUUAAAACAAAGAUUUAACGAACGGGAACCAUUAAUAUAGUGUUAUGGUAACAAUUUACAACUAAUAAAAAAAACUUUACAUUUUCCAAAUCAAGAAAUGUCCUGAAAUAUCCCUCAUCAGGGUUGUAAUUUUUUACAAAUUUGAAUAAUUGUUUCUUAUACGAAAGUCACAAUGGAAUUGCAAGGAAUUACAAUGGAAUUGUUCCAAAAUAAAAUUUUCAACGUCUUUAACAUCUACAUGAAUAGUUUAUAAUUAGGUAUAUUUAAAAAAUACUUUUCUAAAUCUCUGCUAGCAAAACAAAUGAAACAAACAAGAAUAAUAAGUCAAAUUGUAGGAAUAUAUUAAAAUAAACAAAACAACACACCCAUUUAAGUAAAGGCAAUUGUAAAUGCGACACCAGAUUGCGGCUGUCAAAAUGAAAGAGAAGGCAGCCCUAGUACAUUUUCUUUAAAAUUUCCUAUUCACAAAAAGCACAUGACAAUAUAGUUUACGUAGAACAGAAAUAGAAGGUUUUGUAGGGUCUAUGGAAGAAUUUUUAAUCCGAUUUAGAAAACUUUGUAUGAAAUCGAUCGGACAUUUGCUGAUUCGUAUUCAUUCACUCAAUUUCCUUUUCAAAAUAGAAUGUUACCAAUUACCUAUCAUACGCUUCGGUUCAUAUAACAGAAGGGUAUAUUAAAAACAACUUUAAUUGAUCUUAAAUCGUACGUAUUGUUUUAUAUGUAGGGGAAAUCCGAGCUCGGUCGCUCGUGACUGUUUAGUAACUAUUAUUUAAAUUUCCUCACUCUUUCUUACAUACUGAGCUGCUAACUGGAACGAAAUGCAAGAAAACAUCUUUAAAUACCAUUCAACUAUUAAACAGAACAAUUAAAAGACAAGUAUGUAAAACUUGUGUAGAAUGUUGAAUUCGAACUUCACUCCAUGUUAUACAUUCUUUGGGCACGUUGAAUGUAAGUUUCUAACUUAGAUUAUGAGUGAUUGGUGAGGUAUUCUAUACUAGAUUUUAAAUGCAAGAUAGCAUAAGAGAGUUUCCAUUUGAAUGUACAAUAAGUUAUCUUAAAAUUUUAGUUAGUGUUGCAAUGUUUAUAUAUAUAUAAAACAAAACAUAAAGUAAUAUAAUAUUUAGAUGACAUAAUAAAUAAUUGAUUAAGACAACAGCAAAUCAGGCGAAAACAAUAAAACACUUUUAAUUCAAAUGACUAUUCAAGAUUGAUGCUAAAAGCAUGCCAAGCAUCUUCAAAACUGACAGACAGUAUUUUUUCGGCCCCUUUGUUCAUUUCGUCGGGUUUCUUCUUUGGCAACGAUCAACAGGGCAAACCAAAUUAUUCUUCAUAAAUUAAUUUACCAACAAUUAUUUUUCAAAUUCAAACGUUGAACAUGGCGAUACUACUUGGCUUUGGGAUCGCAAAUAGAUUCUUCUUCAAUGACUGGGUUGUUACCGGUUCUUGUUAAACGGCCACGCUCCUGCCGGUUGACUUUAAACGCCACUUCAGCUCUUAAGUUUCUUUUUUCCUUUUUGCGAUGUAAACAAAAUCACAUUUUAAUUUAUUGUUGUAAACAAAUAUUAAUUCUUUUUUGUAUAUAUUCAAAAUAAGACGAACACAAAUGGAAACGUAUCAACAGACGCAAACACACACACACACACAUACAUAUAAGACACCCGCGUUCAUUAAGGAACAAUCUGUAAUGUUCAGAAUAACAACAAUAUGAGACUUCCGACGAUAAAUAAAUAUCGCGCAACGUUGACUUCGCUUUAUUACGCGCUGCUGUCUCCUCUAACUUUUAAGUUGUGAUCAAAUAAAAGAAUAUAUAC